GAUGAACGCUAGCGGCAGGCUUAAUACAUGCAAGUCGUGGGGCAGCAGGGGUGUAGCAAUACAUUCGCUGGCGACCGGCAAACGGGUGCGUAACACGUACGCAACCUUCCUGUUACUGGGGAAUAGCCCAGGGAAACUUGGAUUAAUACCCCAUAUUAUAUUGGUUAGGCAUCUGACUGAUAUCAAAGCUUCGGCGGUAACAGAUGGGCGUGCGGUUGAUUAGGUAGUUGGCGGGGUAACGGCCCACCAAGCCUACGAUCAAUAGCUGAUGUGAGAGCAUGAUCAGCCACACGGGCACUGAGACACGGGCCCGACUCCUACGGGAGGCAGCAGUAAGGAAUAUUGGGCAAUGGACGAAAGUCUGACCCAGCCAUGCCGCGUGAAGGAUGAAGGUCCUCUGGAUUGUAAACUUCUUUUAUCUGGGGCGAAAAUCGGUUAUUCUUAGCCGCUUGACAGUACCAGAGGAAUAAGCACCGGCUAACUCCGUGCCAGCCGCCGCGGUAACAC
rnacentral:rRNA from 1 species